rnacentral:rRNA from 1 species
GGGUAGUUUGACUGGGGCGGUCUCCUCCCAAAGAGUAACGGAGGAGCACGAAGGUUAGCUAAUCACGGUCGGACAUCGUGAGGUUAGUGCAAAGGCAUAAGCUAGCUUGACUGCGAGAGUGACGGCUCGAGCAGGUACGAAAGUAGGUCUUAGUGAUCCGGUGGUUCUGAAUGGAAGGGCCAUCGCUCAACGGAUAAAAGGUACUCCGGGGAUAACAGGCUGAUACCGCCCAAGAGUUCAUAUCGACGGCGGUGUUUGGCACCUCGAUGUCGGCUCAUCACAUCCUGGGGCUGAAGUAGGUCCCAAGGGUAUGGCUGUUCGCCAUUUAAAGUGGUACGCGAGCUGGGUUUAGAACGUCGUGAGACAGUUCGGUCCCUAUCUGCCGUGGGCGUUGGAAGAUUGAGAGGGGUUGCUCCUAGUACGAGAGGACCGGAGUGAACGCACCACUGGUGUUCGGGUUGUCAUGCCAAUGGCAUUGCCCGGUAGCUAAGUGCGGAAAAGAUAAGCGCUGAAAGCAUCUAAGCGCGAAACUUGCCUCAAGAUGAGUCUUCCCUGGGCCUUCAAGGCCCCUGAAGGAACGUUUAAGACUAAGACGUUGAUAGGCUGGGUGUGUAAGUGCAGCGAUGCAUUGAGCUAACCAGUACUAAUGAUCCGUGAGGCUUAACCUUACAACACCGAAGGUGUUU